rnacentral:rRNA from 1 species
GACCGACCCAGAUCUUCUGUGAAGGGCUCGAGUCCGAGCAUACCUGUUGGGACCCGAAAGAUGGUGAACUAUGCCCGAGCAGGGUGAAGCCAGAGGAAACUCUGGUGGAGGCCCGUAGCGAUACUGACGUGCAAAUCGUUCGUCUGACUUGGGUAUAGGGGCGAAAGACUAAUCGAACCGUCUAGUAGCCAACGUCAGGGAAUCCGGAGACGUCGGCGGGGGCCCCGUGAAGAGUUAUCUUUUCCUUUUAACAGCCUGCCCACCCUGGAAUCGGUUCAAUCGGAGAUAGGGUCCAGCGGCUGGAAGAGCACCGCAUGUCCCGUGGUGUCCGGUGCCCCCGGCGGCCCUUGAAAAUCUGGAGGACCGCGUGCCGGUCGGGAGACGGCCGGGGGGGCUUUCCCUAGGCGGCGAACAGUCGACUCAGAACUGGUGCGGACAAGGGGAAUCCGACUGUUUAAUUAAAACAAAGCAUUGCGAUGGU